rnacentral:tRNA from 1 species
GGUUAAUUAGCUUAAGAAAGCAUUUGCUUUGAAAGCAUAAAAUUAGAAGUUUAAUUCUUCUAUUAACUU